rnacentral:rRNA from 1 species
CAACCUGCCGACAACACUGGGAUAGCCUUUCGAAAGAAAGAUUAAUACCGGAUGGUAUAGUUUUCCCGCAUGGGAUGAUUAUUAAAGAAUUUCGGUUGUCGAUGGGGAUGCGUUCCAUUAGGCAGUUGGCGGGGUAACGGCCCACCAAACCUACGAUGGAUAGGGGUUCUGAGAGGAAGGUCCCCCGCAUUGGAACUGAGACACGGUCCAAACUCCUACGGGAGGCAGCAGUGAGGAAUAUUGGUCAAUGGACGAGAGUCUGAACCAGCCAAGUAGCGUGAAGGAUGACUGCCCUAUGGGUUGUAAACUUCUUUUAUACGGGAAUAAAGUGAGCCACGUGUGGCUUUUUGUAUGUACCGUAUGAAUAAGGAUCGGCUAACUCCGUGCCAGCAGCCGCGGUAAUACAGAGGAUCCGAGCGUUAUCCGGAUUUAUUGGGUUUAAAGGGAGCGUAGGCGGGUUGUUAAGUCAGUUGUGAAAGUUUGCGGCUCAACCGUAAAAUUGCAGUUGAUACUGGCGACCUUGAGUGCAACAGAGGUAGGCGGAAUUCGUGGUGUAGCGGUGAAAUGCUUAGAUAUCACGAAGAACUCCGAUUG